GAUGUACGGUACACAAAGAUCCAGAUCAAAGCUCAUGGAAACCAAAAAUAACUAAGAUCUCCUUUGUUCAAUAGUCAAUAAAAUAGAAAGAUCUGGUCGAUGGUUCAUGGUUCCAUCGCAAGGUGGCCGGACUGGGGCGUCCGCCUUGACGGUUCGAGUCUCUCCGAGCAUGGUACCGAUUAGUUUCCGGGUAAACCAUAUGGAGUAGGGAAGAUAACGAGAUCGAUCUCUAGACGUGGAUGGGAUGGAUGUGCGGUUCAAAGAUGGAAUCUACAUAUAUAGAUUCACAUGCGGGUUAUAGUUAAAUCGGAAUAAAGUUUUUGAUAAGUGGACUGUUCUUUACCUAAGUGGGGAUGAUAGUCCAGUCUUGUAUCACAUUUAUAUAUUUGGGUUUAGCAUAUAGAAUCAUUAUCAAAUGUGUUAGAAUAUUUUCCACCUAAGUUUCGUUCAUCCCAAUUCCCACAUUACCUCUAAAGGUGUCUCAAAAGGCAAGUCAUUUUUUCUGGCUAUUCAAUUCAGCUUCGAUUACUACUAAUCAGAUACCACUUUUCCACUA